AUACAUGCAGUCGAGCGGACAGAUAAGGAGCUUGCUCCUUUGACGUUAGCGGCGGACGGGUGAGUAACACGUGGGCAACCUGCCCCUUAGACUGGGAUAACUCCGGGAAACCGGAGCUAAUACCGGAUAAUCCCUUUCUCCACCUGGAGAGAGGGUGAAAGAUGGCUUCGGCUAUCACUAAGGGAUGGGCCCGCGGCGCAUUAGCUAGUUGGUAAGGUAACGGCUUACCAAGGCAACGAUGCGUAGCCGACCUGAGAGGGUGAUCGGCCACACUGGGACUGAGACACGGCCCAGACUCCUACGGGAGGCAGCAGUAGGGAAUCUUCCGCAAUGGACGAAAGUCUGACGGAGCAACGCCGCGUGAGUGAGGAAGGCCUUCGGGUCGUAAAGCUCUGUUGUGAGGGAAGAAGCGGUACCGUUCGAAUAGGGCGGUACCUUGACGGUACCUCACCAGAAAGCCACGGCUAACUACGUGCCAGCAGCCGCGGUAAUACGUAGGUGGCAAGCGUUGUCCGGAAUUAUUGGGCGUAAAGCGCGCGCAGGCGGCUUCUUAAGUCUGAUGUGAAAUCUCGGGGCUCAACCCCGAGCGGCCAUUGGAAACUGGGGAGCUUGAGUGCAGAAGAGGAGAGUGGAAUUCCACGUGUAGCGGUGAAAUGCAUAGAGAUGUGGAGGAACACCAGUGGCGAAGGGCGACUCUCUGGUCUGUAACUGACGCUGAGGCGCGAACGCGUGGGGA
rnacentral:rRNA from 2 species